GAUGAACGCUGGCGGCGUGCCUAAUACAUGCAAGUCGAGCGAACAGACGAGGAGCUUGCUCCUCUGACGUUAGCGGCGGACGGGUGAGUAACACGUGGAUAACCUACCUAUAAGACUGGGAUAACUUCGGGAAACCGGAGCUAAUACCGGAUAAUAUAUUGAACCGCAUGGUUCAAUAGUGAAAGACGGUUUUGCUGUCACUUAUAGAUGGAUCAGCGCCGCAUUAGCUAGUUGGUAAGGUAACGGCUUACCAAGGCAACGAUGCGUAGCCGACAUGAGAGGGUGUCCGGCAACACUGGGACUGAGAUAGGGCACAGACUCCUAAGGGAGGAAGAAGUGGGGAAUAGUGAAAAAUGGGAGGAAGGCUUAUGCAGCAAAGCAGCGAGCGAGACGACGGCCUUCGGUUUGUAAACAGCGUUCGACUGUGACGAAGCGGGAGUGAGGGUAAUGGGUAAAGAAGCAGCGGCUAACUACGUG
rnacentral:rRNA from 1 species